rnacentral:rRNA from 1 species
AUAGCGUAUAUUAAAGUUGUUGCCGUUAAAAAGCUCGUAGUUGAAUUUUCGGCCUGGUUGGACGGUCUGCUCUAGGGUUUGUACUGUCCUGACCGGGUCUUACCUUCUGGUGAGCUGUCGUAUUGUUUACUCAGUGCGGCAGGGAACCAGGACUUUUACUUUGAAAAAAUUAGAGUGUUUAAAGCAGGCAUUCGCUUGAAUACAUUAGCAUGGAAUAAUAGAAUAGGACUUUGGUUCUAUUUUGUUGGUUUCUAGGACCGAAGUAAUGAUUAAUAGGGAUAGUUGGGGGCAUUAGUAUUUAAUUGUCAGAGGUGAAAUUCUUGGAUUUAUUAAAGACUAACUUCUG